rnacentral:snoRNA from 2 species
AUGGAUGUGAUGAUUAUUUCCCCAGAUGAUCGAAUCUGAAAUUACUGAGCGCUCACUUUAUGUUUCUCCUUUUCGAGAACUUCAAGCCAGAAAUCUGAUCCAU